CUCCUGCUCCCGCGGGCCUUGGGCCUUUACCUAAUGCAGCCAUGUCAUCGCUUCUGAAAUGUAAAGCCAAACUGCUUCUCAGAAGAGGAGAUCUGAGCUGUGGGAUCACACGUGUAGUCGAGCACUCCAGCUUUUUGGCUGUUUGCUUGUAUUUGAAUCACAAGUUUCGUGCCAGCGAUAUAAAAAGAUUGUUAACAAAUGGCCAUUAAAACCAAAGACCUUGAAACUAAUUACACACAACACUCAAAAAGAACUCGCUCUGCUAAUUGAGCGGAGCUCGUUACUUGUGAAGUAGGGAGGCUCAGCCUCCACUCACGGUGGAACAUACGGCAGGCUACGCGCGCAGCAGUCACAUCUGAACUGUUACACUUCAAAGGGCCGGGCGCCGAUUGAUGUGUUACUGUCUGAGGAUGGCAACAGCUCAAAGGCAGAGAGAAACUGCAAAAGUUUUAAGUUUAAAGCUGAAGCGCGGACUUCAGAAGAGUUCGGCUUUGCACCGACUGAUUAGAGUAUAAGAAUGCAGUAAAUACAAUUUAAAAGUUAAAUUACCAUCUGGUCACAGCUAGAGGUAGAUUUCAGAAGCAGCACAAGUAAAUAGUUUCUUGCUCUCUGAACAAAUAAUUUUACAUUUCAACUAAGCCAUGUGGUAACUGGUACAAUUGAUUUCUGCUUGUAGUCAGUUACUGAACGGUUUCACAAUUGAUUUCAAUAGCCCUAGGAUGAAACUCUAUCUGCCAAGCAUACAAUGUUUGGUUGGUGCAGAUUGCAUUCAUACUGCUAAAAGCAAAAAAAAGCUAUGGAAGGAAAUUGCCAUCUUGCGUUCAAGAGCCACGUGGAUGUGGCACUGGGGGACGUGGUCAGUGGGCAUGGCGGUGGUGGGCUGACAGUUGGACUAGAUGAUCUCAGAGGUCUUUUUCAACCUCGGUGAUCCUGUGAGUGCUGCAAAACCUGUAGCUGAGUUUGGCAUUAAAGCAGCGUGCUGUCUGUGCUGGAGGAGCUGUGGCGAGGCAGCGAUCUGCACAGCCCAGAGCCCCUCACUCUGUGCAGCCAAAUAGGAGUGGGGCUUUGGAGUUACCGGGAGCACUGCAACAGAGCCAAGAUGGAAUGCUUUGCUGGGCUGAGCUAGAGCAAUCCAAUUGAUGAUCCGUUUUACUCGUUACCAUACUGACUUGCCUCUAGGUCAGUAUAGGCUACAGGAAGUUUGUCUUUGGCAAAGAGUCUUCCUAAAGCCCAGUGGAAAUUCUCAAGUUUCUGCUUUCACUUUCAACUGCGGCUAAGAGAUGGAAGGAUCACAAGCAGGAGAGGAAACUUCUUGCCCUCAGUACCCUGCAGCUUUUUUUCUGGACCUGUGAUCCUCGGGAGACAAAGCUAUCUGAUGUCCCCAGGGCGACCUUUCCUUUUCAGUAGGUUUUAGUGCUUGAGGUUCAGCCCGCAGCCCUGUGAUUAACCACCUCUCCUGAGUAGACACAGAGCGCACUAUGUAUCACUACUGGAAACACAAAGCCCUUCAUCCUACAAAACUGUAUCAGCAAGGAGAUACCGCGCGGUGCCCCGUGGAUCCCUGUGGAUGUGCGUUCCCCACCACUGACACAGAUGGCGAGCAACAGAAUCCUCCGUGACCCAUUUUUAGAUCCAUUUGACACCUGCUUCAUAUGCUCGUGUAAAACCAGAGAUUUCAAGCUGAAAAAAAGCUUGCCAUAGUUGUUACUGGAUUAGAGGGAAUCUUUUUUUCAGCUCAUACAACAAAUUCCUUUUCCGCCUCUGGAGAGACCCACUUUAAGCUUUAGUCUAAUGGCAGGAUUGGAGAGGUUCUUUAAGCCCCCGUGGUGGCUGCAGCAUCCGUGGUUUGACAGAGAGGGGAGGCGUGGGACAGUGUGUGCAAAGUGACUGGGGCUUGUGGUUGACAAAGGGUAGUGAUGCGUCUCAACAUUCUUGUGCGCUUGCUUUGGGGGUGUGGAGCCACGUGGUGGGGUGGGAGUGGAGAAGAGAGCAUUUUUCUUCUCUGAUUCAGUGUGGAUCGGCAGUUUUCCUUCUCCAUGAGCAGUGCAGAACUUUCCCAAAGCUGAAGAGAGUUCUCAGUCUUGCCUUUGUCUGGAAAAGCGUGUUUUAUAGCAUGAGAGCAAGGGAUAAGUGCAGCCUAAAGGGCCUGAGUCAUAUGAGCUGUCACUUAGCCAUCUAUCUAAUACUGAUUAACUACAAGACAGUUUUAGAUUUUCUUCUCUUUUUUUUCCCAAAGAAAUCAACUCAUGACUCAGUACCACAAAAAUGAAAAAGGGAAAUCAGGGUAGUCUCAUUUUUGGCUGAGUGAAUGAAGGACUCUUAGAUGACCCGACAUUUAUUUCCUCCUCUUACAGUGCAAACUGCAUUUUUGCUGUAGCUGGAACACUGAUUCUUACCACAAGCAGAACAGCAUGAAUGUGAGGCUGUUUGAAGAGGGGGCCUUGAUGGACAGAAGUUGUUUUUAAAGGACUGCUUUCCUGAGAAAUGGACUUGAGUAACUCAGGCACCAUAUGCUUCCUGCUGUGCAAAGGCAUGGGUAAAUUUCUGUAUGGUUGGGCACUGGAAGUAAAUGCGGCAUAAGAAAUAGGUUUGGACACAGAACGCAGAUCCAUACUUAGUGGAUGGAAUUCAUAACACCACUGUACGGAGGCACUGGGUUGUGAAAAAGAAUCUGACUUUGGUGAGGUGAAGGAUGCAUUUUCGACCAAGGACUGAACUGAAUCAGUAGACUUAGACUAGAUAUCAGGAAGCAGUUAUUUACUGUGAGUGUGGUGAGACACUGGAACAGGUUGCCCAGAAAGGUUGUGAAUGCCCCCUCCCUGGAAGCAUUCAAGGCCAGGCUGGAUGGGACUUUGAGCAACCUGGUCUAGAGGGAGGUGUCCCUGCCCAUAGCAGAGGGUUGGAACUGGAUGAUAUUUAAGGUCCCUUCCAACCCAAACCAUUCUAUGAUUCUAUGACUGGACUCAGCCUUCAGAGCUGGCAGCACAUUUCUCAAUGUAAUGGCCUCCUAGAAGUUUACAUGCUGCAAUAAUGACAGAGUUUGAAGACCCCCAGUGUGUUCCCUAUUCAACUUCAGUUGGUUGAUUUUUUUCUGGGCAUGUCUGAGCUGGAGCUCAGCAGCAGUCCUCUCCCAAAAGUGAUUUAUACGAAAGAUCUGGCAUCCCCGGUUUCUAUUGAAUUGCAGUCCCUGCAAAUGGUCUGAUAAAAUCAGAUACUCUGAUAAAAAUCUCUACGCUUAUUCUUUGAUUACUGAGCAAGCUCAAUUUCAUCAUGGUGAAGUAGAAGCCAGCGGUUACAAUUACCUUUCCUUCCUUUCAUCUGGCUUUUAAUAUUUGGAUUUAAGAUGGAAAAAUUACAAAUGAAUAAAUCUGCACCAAGUCUAGUCAAGAUUUUUCUCUGUAUAAUAAUAUUAUUCAUAUCUCUAUGAUUAGCAACAGCUGGAAUAAAUUUUAGUAAAAAUAUAUUAAAAUCUGCAUUGUGGAGUAAGCCACAUGGAGUCACUGUAAUUUGAGGAAGGAAAAAGUUUUCAUAAAAGCUACUGAGAAAGGAAUAUGGAUUUUUCUUUCAGGUGACUUUUUUCCAUUUUGUUUUCGCAAGCAGAUCUGGUUUUAUUUCACUGUGCUCAACUUUCUGGUGCUCGUGUUGGACAAACACUUGAGAUACAGCAGUACAUCAACCAGCCACGCUGGACACUGCUUCUUCUCACUAAACCAAGGUGUACCGAGCUGCUCAAGCUGUGUUAAAGCAAAGUUUUCAGCUGCCAUUACAAUGACCUAAUCCAGUGCUGGUGCUAUAUCAGCUGGAAAGCUAUUAGGCAGCUCCACUUUUCACCUGCAAACAUCAUCUGUACCAGCUGCUGUUUUCAGAAAGUGGCUGAGAAAUGCGCAGGCAGCCAAUAGAUCAGUUAGAAUCAAAGCAAUAAAACUCUGUACAGCUUCUCGAGAGAAAUAAUUUGAAACCCCAGUUCAGUGGCCAAUUGAAAAGGGCAGCAUCAGGAGGAAGUAGAGUGGGGAAGAGGCAGCUGGGAAUUACUGGAGCAGCUUUUCAGUGCUCCCUUUUCUCUCUGCGUUGUUCCAUAUGUCUAAAUGACCCUCAGACUGGAGGUGGGCUGAAGUGGACCCUCCUUAGAGGUCCUUGCUUCUUCAGUAGUCAUCUGCACUCCUGAGAAUCUGCUGUAGACAGAUAACAUAUGUUGCAAAGCGUGAGGAAUUUUUAAUAAAAAUAUAAAGAACUUUCUGAAUGAAAGUGAUUACCUAAGUGUGGGAAUGCCAGAGAGAAGAGCGGAAUGGUAGGUGCAGAUGGCACCUCAGCCAGCAGGUCAUCAAGGUGACAACGGGUCUGUGUGAGACUAACCAGAACCUCCUAAAACCAAAGACAGUCUACACAGCGAGCAAAAUGAAGGACAGGCUAAUAAACCAGAGCCCUCAAGAAGUGAUGAAAGGAAGAAAAAAGCAGGCAAGGAGCCAUAAAACACCCACAUAAGGACAGAAAAGCAAAUACUAAGCCAGGGGUGGAACAGGAUGAGGAAACAAAAGAUCACACUGUCAACUCUUAGGAGAUCCAAGAGCAAGCACUUGGCUUCCAGUCCGUGGAGAACCUAGGCGACAUGUUGAGAUGCCUACAGAUGUCCCUUUCCAUCUUCACCACCACAAGUCACCUGGGCCAGAGCACCUGGACCCAUCCAUUUUGGUGUUUGGAAGCAUGAAGGUAUGUGAAUGUGUAAACCCUGUUUUGUUUCAAGUAAAAUCCCCUCUGUCCUGUUUCAGCUCACAUAGCACUUUGUCCUGUUAGUGGGUGCCACAGGGCUCCUUCCUCCCAGGCUCUGGGAUCACAUCUUCUCUCCAAGGAGGCGAGUGAUGAGCUCACCAAUGUUGGUAAAAAUGAAUUUGAAAGUCUAACUGGUUAUCACUGGAUAUCACAGAUGGAGAAUAAUUACUUCACAGAUUGGCAAACUGAGAUUAUCUGCAAAUAUUAUGAGAGACAUUGGAAGCUCUUCUAAAACACGCCAUUAUUUUAAAUAGCAUUUUGCAAUUGUGGUACCUCCCUUGUGGAUACUGUGGCUGAAUAUUGCAAGUAUGAAAAACAAUGCCAUAGUUGAAGGUUUGUCGCUGAAAAGCACCACCUCGUGUUUCCUACACCCCGCUUCCCACAGCAAGACUUAUUCUAGAGUAGAAAAUAAAUGAAGAGGUAAUAAUUAACUAAAUGUGUCUCAAAUACAAGAAAUCCUACACAGAGCUAUAUUGUUCACCUUUAAUCGCUGCAAAUGAAAUGAUGUUUGGUGGAUUUCCUGCAGGUUACCAAGAGGCAGACGGUUAAACCUUUUGCCUUGAGAUGUGCUCCUUCUCCCAUUAUUGGCCUUCAUCUUCUGAGCUCAGCUUACAGAGAGGUCAGUUUAGUCUCUGAAAUCUAAUUUCAAGAAUAAGCCACAAACAACAAAGAAUGCUGCCAGACUCUGUUCAGUCACGACGAUAAUAGUUUUCCUCCACUCAGCAUCUCAGCUGGUGAUUAUUCUUGAUAAAUGCAAAGCCCAUCUGUACAUUAUUGUGUCUAAACAACAAACCUGUAGCCAUGAGAGCAAUGGCUUGACCAAAGUGUUGCACUCAGGUCAGGGUAAUUCCUGAUACAUGUACAGACUGGGAGAAGAACUCAUUGAGGGCAGCCCUGCGGAGGAGGACCCGCAGUCUCUGAUAGAUAAAAGGCUUGACAUGAGCCACCAGUGUGCUCUUGCAGCCCAGAAGGCCAACAAUAUCCUGGUCAGCAUCAACAGAGGGGUGGCCAGCAGGGAGAGGAAGGUGAUUAUUCCCCUCUGCUCUGCCUUCAUGAGGCCCAGUACUGCAUUCAGACCUGGGGCCUCCAGCACAAGAAAGAUGUGGAGCUGUUGGAGAAUGUCUAGAUGAGGGCCACGAAGAUGCUCAGAGGGCUGGAGCACCUCUCCUGUGAAGAAAGGCUGAGGGAGCUGGGCUUGUUCAGCCUGGAGAAGAGAAGGCUCCGGGGACACCUCUCUGUGGCCUUCCAGUACUUGAGAGGAGUUUAUAAACAGGAGGAGAACCAACAUCUCACACAGUCUAAUAGCGAUAGGACAAGGGAAAAUGGCUUUAAACUAAAAGUGGGGAGAUUUGGGUUAGAUGUUAGGCAGAAAAUCUUUACUCAGAGGGCGGUGAGGCCCUGGCACAGCUGCCCAGAGAAGCUGUGGGUGCCCCAUCCCUGGAGGCACUCAGGGCCAGGUUGGAUGGGGUCCUGGGCAGCCUGAGCUGGUGGGGGGCAGCCCUGCCCAUGGCAGAGGGUUGGGGCUGUGUGGGCUUUGUGGUCUCUUCCAACUCAAGCCGUUCUAUGGUUCUUUGAUCUAUGAUUCCUGUGGCUCUUUUCAAAAAUGCAACAAACUAUUGAUAUUUUCAGACCAGAAAGCUAAACCAAAGUGUUUCUUGCCUCCUCCUAAAAUGGUUUGAAAAAACCCUCUGAUUCUUAAACUUAGAAAUAUUAGUCCCAUGUUCUUUGUGAGAUUAGAAUCAGAAUCACAGAAUCGCAGUGGUUGGAAGGGACCUCUGGAGAUCAUCCAGUCCAUACUCACCUGAUAAUACCAGUUCCCAAGAGUAAGUUGCAAGAGUUAGAGGAAGAGACUCUGAAAAUCUUCUUUUCUGAUCUCCUGUAUAAUCCAGUACAGAGAAUUUCACAAAAUCAGUGGCAAAUUUCUGUCUUAUUAGCAGUGUUGGCUCCUUGUACUCCACACAGCCCUCACUCACCCCUUUUGAUGUCAGCUGAAAGGGUGCUGUUGAAUUGGAGAGGACCCGUACAGAAGACAGCAGUUCCUGGAGUCCUACAAGACUCUGUCAGGGAGAUCUUGGUAUUUUACCUCAUACCUUCUUCAAAAAUGAUAAACCAGAAGACAAGUAAACUGUGUUACAACAUGAAGGAUAAAAUCCAUAAUUCAGGACAGCACAGAAAGCACCUGGUUUCGUGCUUCAUUUCCAUUUCUAAACAUAGAAGAGAUUCACAGAAGCAUCUGCUGAGCUUUUGAAUGACUUUGGAUCAGCCGUAAGUGCCUGUAUGCCAAAAGCAAACCAAACACACACAUGAAAACAGGCAAAUUGCAGUGACACAGGUCAGUUUACAUCCCAAACCGAUAGCAAGUCUGCUUUGGUGACGAAUGCACCCAAUAGAAAGAAUGCAGAAACUUUGCAUGUUCUUCACAACAUGAGAAUGCUGAACAUUAAACAGUUGCAAAAAAUAUGUACUUAACCUUUGGGUUUUAUAUCUCUGCUUUUCAUUCUCUCCGCUUAUAGAUAAGGACAGUCAGAUUAGAUGGAGAUUUGCAAGUGGUAAAAGACGUUGUUGUUCAAGGAAUAGUUUCUAUUCGUUAUGGUAAAUACUUGGUCAAAGCAAAACUUGAGAUUUUGGGAUAGCCACGUUGUGUGCCGAGAUCACUGAGUUACAGCCUGAGGGCCACAGCAAAAUCAGGGGAAAUUUCAGAGAGCAGAUCAGACCUUUUGGAGUGUCGUUGACUGUACAGAAGAAAUGUCUUCAUUUGCUUGGUUUGAAG
ensembl:lncRNA